UUAUUAUUUAGUAUUAUUCAGCUUAAAGAAAUGGUAUCGUGGAGAACCGAGUUCGGGUUGCAAGUACCCGGAUUUGGGGUCGCCACAAUUAGUCCAUUACAAUUUAGCUUAAAGCCUUUUAACGUAUAGUCUACGUAUUCUUCUCGUAUACUAAGUUGUAUAAUCAUUCAUCAUAUACGAUAAGUCCUUCUUCGUAUACUAAUACGAUACUUCGUAUCAUACUCGUAUUCAUUGCUUCGUAUAAUACUCUCUUAUUAUACGAUCAUCCUUUAUUCAAUAUUUACUUUCCUUAACUUUCUCAAACUUAGUACGCGGGAGAAAAAUUGCGUUUGUCAUAACUGAAAUAUUAUUGCGUAUUCUGUGACGCCCCCAAAAUAGGUAUACAUCACCUAUUCUGAGUCGCCAAAUACAUGGUACAAAAUACAAAUACAACCUUAAAUAUACAAUAUGAGCUGUGAGUUUUAAUACAAAAAUUGUCUUCUAGACAGUAUUCAAACUCAAAAUAAGUCCUCAAUACAUUUAUUAUCACACUAUUUCAUAGAAUAGUGAGGACUAUUAAUGCUAUCAUCUGGACCGUCACUCCGUUCCCCGACUAGUCCCUAUAACGCCCCGAAAUCCGGUCUAUCUUCACACCCGAAUUACGUACGUCACGAGUACAUCAUUCAUUCUGCAUACAACAUUAUAUACUAAAAUAUAACAACAUACACUCUCAAAUCCCAGGUUCGAAAAACCUUAUAACCUUUCUCAUUACAAAUAAUGAUAAUUACAUUAUUCCUUUCAUCUUACAAGAGUGACUUUUAUCCGCCACCAAGGAUACAUACAGUUCAUUAAACUAAUAUAUAGUUUAAUUCUAUCAUUCCAUAUUACAAGUCUUCACUUGCUCUUCACGCACAUUCAUAUACUGAAUGGCACUUCAUCAAGUACCGCUCAGCUUGAUCUAUACGGGAUCCUUAAGUUCUUCUAACAUCGUUCGCUAAAAAUGUUUUUCAUUUAAAGCAAGUGUGAGCAUUCAAUUGCCCAGCAAGUCAUAACAGUUGAACCAACAACUUCAAGAAUUUACACAUUCUUUUCAGACUUCAAUAACCGAACAAGGUUACGAAGCAGCUUCAAUAAUAGGAAUAGUCUUAAUUCCUAUCAUCUUAAAACCUUAGUUACAUGCACUUUGAAAUACUUUCAUUCUCUACUCUCUUUCAUGCACAUUCUGUCUGGCUAGAAUCAAUAGCACAGACUUAACAAUAACGGUUCAUGUAUAAACAGAACAUUCUUUUAUUGAACAGUUCAAAUAUAGAACAGUUCAUCUCACAAAAACACUGAAGUGUUCAAAUUGUGGCACAAGGCCUCAUACGUUCUACCACCUUGUACAAAUAUCACACAUUCGCACAUAGACAGAACUUCUCAAGUUCAACAUCUGAGAAGUUUUAAGAAACUAGCAUUCAUUUAAAAUAUAAAUGAAGUUAGGAAACUUGCCUUCCGCACAGCUACAGCUUACGCUGAACUGCUCAUUCCAAUCCCUAUAACACAUAAGGAAAUAACAAAUACACCAAUUAGUCAUAUACUUGACUUACGCAUUUGUUUACUUAAAUUUACUUCUUAAGGUUCGUGUUCUUACAACUAAGUUUACGCGACCAACUUUCUUUACCGCUUCGCGGCUUUAUGACAUACGGAGAUGUCUUACUCAAAAUGUUCAUCAUCUUCGAUGAUUUACAUUCUUAUCUUUUUCUUAUACUUCUCUAGGACUCAGCACACAUCGCUUCUCUGCUAGUAGUCCAUACGAUACUCUGAGUGGUUUCCCACAAACAACCAACAAACAAGUUCCCGUCUCAUCUACAGUGCCAUCACAGUGAGUUAGAUCGGUUGCCAGUUUCAUAUAUACCUUCGCUCUCUGAAGGAAUUGUUUAGCCCAGCUCCCAUAUGUCAACCAUCAAAGGUUACGAUUGUACCACAACCUAACUUUCUCUUAACUGAUACGAAUUAUUAAAUUAUAAUGUUCGUUAAGUUAAUUUCUUAUUCCUUUUGGCUUUCUGGCAACUAAAUGCCAUACCUCAGGAUUCAUUCUUUAUCGUCUAAGUCAUACAAUCUUUUGUAUACUCGAAAUGAUCAUUCAAUGUCAAUACUAUGAGAACAUAGCGUUAAACAUUUCAUAUUAACUUAUUCAUACCUUACACGUCCGGUUCAUUAAACUCGGAACGAUGUCCAAGUUAUACUUAUUAACUUGGCUUCUUAACGUUAUACGUUAUUGUCUUUAACUUAGUUUCUUCACCGUUCACGGCAAAAACUUAGUCUUCAUUACAUUACGGUUAAACCAUACACGGAGUGUAGGUUUUGCCCGUUUACACUCGCUUACACUCAACCCUUACGCUGGUUAAAGUGUUCAACGCUUACUUCAUUCUAACAUUCUUUAUCCGACCCACACUCGGACUUUCUCAUUAAUCUUCUUACCGUUUGUUACGGCUUUCUUGAUACCAUUCGUAUCUUAUUUACUACAUUCAUCAACGUCUAAGUCAUACAACCAGGGUAUACUUAGCACGUUCGUCCAACGCGAAUACGAUUCACGAGGAUCGUUUACGUAUUCAAUGUUUACGUUGUUCGUCUCUUAAUCUCUCAUUCAACCUUUACUCAAGGUUUCAAUUGUAACGCCCCCAAAUUCGGGUACUUGAAACCCGAACUCAGUGUUUUACGAUACCAUUUCUAUGAGCAGAAUAAUACUAAUAAUAAUAACAAUAAUAUGAAUUUCAAACUUAACUUACAUUUAUCAGAGUCUAAUCCCAAGUACGCAACCUUUGCUACAAUAUAUACCGAUAGAUAAUAAAUACCAUGGUCUAUAUAUUGUCUAACCAUUACAAAAGAUACCAUUAAACAUAUUCUAUUUGUUUUUCUUUUCACUUGUUCUUGGCUGUACCUUCCGGUUGAUCAUGCUUAGCUGAAAAAAUUUAAAUUUAAGCAAGGAUGAGCAUUUGAGUGCCCAACAAGUAAUAACAAUUAUAAGUAUAAUUAGCUGAAAGGAAUAAAUGUUUUCUUUGUAUAUCACUUCUACAACGAAUUAAUAGUUGUGAAGUAAACUGAACAAAUCAUAACCAUCUAUCAAUUCUAUACCAAAACUUUUGAAACUACGUAUUGACUAUAUAUAUAGGGUAGUCGACAUAUUAUGAUCAUUGUUUUCUGUUUUCAAAAUGGUUAGACAGGAAUUCAUCUGCAAACUGUCAUAGCUUACGGGCACGAAGGUGUACAUCCCACGGACCCUGUAUUGAUCAAUACUACAUACAAGAAAGAUGUUAUCGUUCACUCUGUCCGCCUUGGGCGCAUAAAAGUUUUCCCAUAUUCUGGAUGUUCAUACUUAGUCUUGAGUCCAAACCAAAGAAAUUUGAUUAGAUACAAAAAUGUUUUAUCAUAAUCAACGAUAUUUCUUAAUAUGUGUCUAGCUGAUCGAAUAGCUUAGAUGUAUAUAUAAAUAUAUAUAUCAACAUGUAAUUGAAUACAAUGAUUAUCCAAGUGGGGACACUUGUAAAACCAUUUUAUAGAAAUUAACGAACAUAAUAUAUAUCUGAAUUACCAUAUACUAACAUGUUGAUAAGCAAUGAUCGAAUAUAGAAUAUAUCGCAAUAGAGUUAAUAAUAUAUAAUUCUAAAACCUCUUACUCAUGUCUAUUGCAUAAAGGAAAUGCAAAGGUAGGAUACUUGCCUGGUCUGCUGCUUAAAGUUAUGCAAUUUAGAUUUAUCUUUUAUACCGAAACCUAUCAUUAAUCAGAUCAUUCGUUCGAUUAGAAUCACAUAUAAUAACACACAACACUGCUUAUUGCAGUCAGCACAUAACCUAAUCACAUUGCCACAUACAUUCACAGUCAUAGAAUUACAAAUAAACACAUAUACAG
rnacentral:lncRNA from 1 species